UACAGAGGGGGCAAGCGUUGUUCGGAAUUACUGGGCGUAAAGGGCGCGUAGGCGGCCUUCUAAGUCGAACGUGAAAUCCCCGGGCUCAACCCGGGAACUGCGUCCGAUACUGGAAGGCUUGAAUCCGGGAGAGGGAUGUGGAAUUCCAGGUGUAGCGGUGAAAUGCGUAGAUAUCUGGAGGAACACCGGUGGCGAAGGCGACAUCCUGGACCGGUACUGACGCUGAGGAGCGAAAGCGUGGGGAGCAAACAGG
rnacentral:rRNA from 1 species